rnacentral:rRNA from 1 species
CCUACGGGAGGCUGCAGUGGGGAAUAUUGGACAAUGGGCGAAAGCCUGAUCCAGCCAUGCCGCGUGUGUGAAGAAGGCCUUCGGGUUGUAAAGCACUUUCAGUGGGGAAGAAAGCCUUGGGGCUAAUACCCUCGAGGAAGGACAUCACCCACAGAAGAAGCACCGGCUAACUCCGUGCCAGCAGCCGCGGUGAAUACGGAGGGUGCGAGCGUUAAUCGGAAUUACUGGGCGUAAAGCGCGCGUAGGCGGUCUGAUAAGCCGGUUGUGAAAGCCCCGGGCUCAACCUGGGAACGGCAUCCGGAACUGUCAGGCUAGAGUGCAGGAGAGGAAGGUAGAAUUCCCGGUGUAGCGGUGAAAUGCGUAGAGAUCGGGAGGAAUACCAGUGGCGAAGGCGGCCUUCUGGACUGACACUGACGCUGAGGUGCGAAAGCGUGGGUAGCAAACAGGAUUAGAUACCCGAGUAGUC